GACGAACGCUGGCGGCGUGCUUAACACAUGCAAGUCGAACGGAAAGGCCCUGCUUGCAGGGUACUCGAGUGGCGAACGGGUGAGUAACACGUGGGUGAUCUGCCCUGCACUUCGGGAUAAGCCUGGGAAACUGGGUCUAAUACCGGAUAGGAGCCAUUUUUAGUGUGAUGGUUGGAAAGUUUUUUCGGUGUAGGAUGAGCUCGCGGCCUAUCAGCUUGUUAGUGGGGUAAUGGCCUACCAAGGCGGCGACGGGUAGCCGGCCUGAGAGGGUGGACGGCCACAUUGGGACUGAGAGACGGCCCAGACGCCUACGGGAGGCAGCAGUGGGGAAUAUUGCACAAUGGGCGCAAGCCUGAUGCAGCGACGCCGCGUGGGGGAUGACGGCCUUCGGGUUGUAAACUCCUUUCGCUAGGGACGAAGCUUUUUGUGACGGUACCUAGAUAAGAAGCACCGGCUAACUACGUG
rnacentral:rRNA from 1 species